rnacentral:rRNA from 1 species
UAAGGAAUAUUGGACAAUGGAGGCAACUCUGAUCCAGCCAUGCCGCGUGAAGGAAUAAGGCCCUAUGGGUUGUAAACUUCUUUUAGACGGGACAAAACCCCUUUACGUGUAAAGGGUUGAUGGUACUGUCAGAAUAAGCAUCGGCUAACUUCGUGCCAGCAGCCGCGGUAAUACGAAGGAUGCAAGCGUUAUCCGGAAUUAUUAGGUUUAAAGGGUGCGUGGGCGGACUAAUAAGUCAGUGGUGAAAGCCUGCAGCUUAACUGCAGAAUUGCCAUUGAUACUGUUAGUCUUGAGUACAGUUGAGGUAGGCGGAAUGUGUCAUGUAGCGGUGAAAUGCUUAGAUAUGACACAGAACACCGAUUGCGAAGGCAGCUUGCUAAGCUGUAACUGACGCUGAGGCACGAAAGCGUGGGGAGCAAACA